rnacentral:rRNA from 1 species
UACGUAUGGUGCAAGCGUUAUCCGGAAUGACUGGGUGUAAAGGGAGCGUAGACGGUUGUUCAAGUCUGAUGUGAAAGCCCUCGGCUUAACUGGGGGAGUGCAUUGGAAACUGAAGGACUAGAGUAUCGGAGAGGCAAGUGGAAUUCCUAGUGUAGCGGUGAAAUGCGUAGAUAUUGGGAGGAACACCAGUGGCGAAGGCGGCUUGCUGGACGAAAACUGACGUUGAGGCUCGAAAGCGUGGGGAGCAAACAGG